UCUCUGUCUCUCCCAAAAUAAAUAAAUAAACUUAAAAGAAUUAUAUAUCUAAAAAAAUAGCCAAAAUAGCAAAUUGGAUGUGAACGAGACAGAAAGUUAAUUUUAAGAUGAUUACUUAGAAGAAUUCAUAUGAUUUCUGCAUCUGGUCAAGAUGGAGUAACUAGAAUCAAAUUUAUCCUCCCGUUUGAAACAACCAAACAAUAGACAAAAAUACAUGGAGCGGUGGUUUGCGAGAACUAGAUAUCAGAUCAUGAAAGGUAAUGAUCACUGAGAAGUGAGAAUUCUUCCCAAACCUAGGUGAGCCCCAUAAUUUACCCCAGCAUACUUCUUCAGGAAAGUUCCCAGACCAUGGCAUGGGGAGGUGAAAUUUAAACUCACCCCGGAAAACUUUCCAAGCUGAAAAGAUGUAGCUGAGAGUCAGGGAAGUCAAGGCAACUGGAAUUGGCAGGGCAGAGUACCAAAGAGAAGAGAGAGAACUCAGGAGAUUUGCAAAGAGGCUCCCGCAAGAGUUUAGGUGACUACCCAUCAAUGCUUGCAUGUGAGAAAAUACCCAAGACCAGGGAAAGACCCACCCAAAAGAAUUAGAGGUGAUAGUUACCUAUGCACAUAGAGGACUAGGAAUGAUGCUUAUUCUCACCAGCCAGACUAGAAAAACCUCACUGUUCACAGAGCAUUUGCUAUAGCACAUGUCAGAAACUAUAACAGGAUAUGAGAUUUUAUUUUAUUUGCAAGCCAACAAGCAGCCAUGAAGGCUGGUGGAAGACACAAGACUCCUAAGCAUGAGAGGAGGAGUGUAUUGAUUAUUUAGAGAAAUCACAGUAGCAAGAGUAUCUGCUGUUUUUCUAACAAUUCUCUGAGUCCCAGUUCCCCCAGGGUGACUCAAAGAAGACUAGAUGAGCCUUGCACAUGUGGUGAGUUGCCUUAUAGGAGAGAAACUUGAGCUAUUUCCAGUAACAUCAAAAAGUGUGAAACAGGGAUAAAAGGUGUGAAAGACCUACCUGUGCACUGAAGACUACUGAGCAUUGCCGAACAAAUUUAAGGAAGACCCUCCAAAUUGAAGACGUACACCAUGUUCACAGGACUGGUGUUUUUAAAAGACGAGGAAGAGACACCAGGGAUGCAUGCACGCGGAGAAAAGACCAUGUGAGGACACAUAAGAAGGUGGCCAUUGAUAAGUCAAAGAGAGACGCCUCAGGAGAAACCACCGUGCUGGCACCUAGCAGCCUCCAGAACUGUGAGAAAAUAAAGAAACAUCCCUGUAAACAAGAAAGGGACAGAUUACAUCAUCUGGUUGGUGUUAAACAACAGAACAGUGUGUCUUCCAUCCUUCUUUGAAGUUUAUUUAUUUCUUUUUGAGAGAGAGCGAGCGAGAGAGAGCGAGAGCACAACCGACUGAACCACCAGGCACCACAUCUUCUGUCUGUCUUUACCCAGCUGGCAGCCAUUCUUGAUGUCGACCAGGAUUCACGCUCCUAGAUGUUGCAUGACUUGGAAUACAUUUGAGCUGCCUCUCCUGGAGUGGACGCUGUUUGGAUCGAUGCUAGCCCGCAGCUUCGGGAGUUGGGCUGCUGGCCCUUCUUUGUUAGGAGGCAGGAUUUGAAGCCAAUAUUCACAAGAUGAAGUUUGGAUGAAGAGCAACACAAGAGGGUAUAAAACACUGUCACAUUUUUUCAUGCCAGAAAAUAUUUCUUCCUCAUAUUAUUUCUUUAAAUAGCUCUUCACAAUAAGCAACCUCGGGGAAUAACAAGUGCAAAAAAGAAGAACCGGGCCAAGCACAGCUCCUAACAGAAAUUCAGCGCAUGAUUUAUUAAUAAGACCCUGUUUGCUCUGAGUCAUCGUUUUAUCUCCCAAAGCGUACGUAGUAGGAACAGUUGAGCCUGCAAGGAGAGGGUGUUCCUGUGCCUUUCCUGGAGUACAGCGGCUGGCUACCGUUGAGAAUCUUCGUGUGCGGUCACCGAUGCAAUGUGUGCCUGAAGUCACUGCCCGAUCCUGCCACAUAGGGAAGUGUGAGGAAACGUCAGCCCAUGGCCGAGUCUCUGCGUCACCACGGCCCCGGAUAGCAGUCUCCCCAAGCUUUGCUCAUUUUUCAAAAUGCCCAAGGAGAGCGAGGAGAGAAAACAAGAAUCAGGGAAAAGGAUGCCUGGAAUCAUCUAACUUUCAGUUACAUCAUAUUACAACCCAUAAUAAUAUAAGUGUAAAGGACAAUGCAAUUUCUCCAGGAGAUUAAUAGGCAUUUGAGGGCCUUUUAAGAAAAGAAUACUGUUUGAUCUAAUGCCCCCGAACAGUAGGAGAUACUAUAACUCAGUGUUGGGCCAAAUGCUUCAUCUGAGCUCUGCACACUUCACGGUGAGUCUCUGACUUUUACAUUAAUUUCCACGAAUGGCCACGCAGAUCCCGUGUUUUAAAUCCUCGUGCAGACCCGGAUGAAAGUGAACACUAGCUCCUAGAGUCACCUAGUCCUUCUCUGUGGAAUCAUUUCUAAUUGAAUGUUAAGAUCAAAGUUUAAGUUUAUAAGAAAGAAAAACAAGUGCAGAUAAAUAGUUAUUAUCUGACACCCUUAUGAAAAUUCAUGACCUGCACUUUUAUCAGAGACCUUAUAAGAAUUCUAAUUGUGAAGUAUGCGGAGCCAUUAAAUGGCGAGUACGCUUCAGUCUCUUGAUAAGAAGUGAGUUAAAUAAUUGUCCUGUUUAACUUGUGCUUGUUAACCUUUAAGGUCAACUAGUUUGAACAUACGUUUAAUGAAAUCCUGGAGCCAGAAUUUAUGAUACUGCUGCCGAAUGCUAAAUUGGACAAUUUACAUAAGCAGGACAUUAACCUUCUGAGCACUAAAUAGCAUUUUAGCACUUAGCCGCUGGGGACAAUAAGGGACAUGUUCUAUAUAUUUGUGAUUAGCUUGCCUGGAAACUCUCAUGAUGACCAAUUGGCCUACCAAGUUUAGCAGCAUAAUUAAAUGAAUGGACUCAGCCUAAGUAAAUUAUCAGUGCUGUGUACAGUAUAUCAUUAUAGUCCAAAGGAAAAAAAAAAGAUAUGAAUAAUUUAAUAAUACAUUACUAAUUUAUCAAUGCUAAGUGACUUUGAGGAGGCUCUUUGCAGUUCAUUGUUUUAAAUUUGAUAUUUGAUUUAUUGCUCGCGUGAUUAAAAUUGAGCCUGUUUCAUUUCUUACUAGAAGUAUAUAGAAGCAGUAGAUUUUAUUUUAUUUCAUUUCAUCUCAUUUCAUUUUAUUGAGGUGAGACUGGUGGUGUUUCCUGCUUUGGUGAUAUUACAAAAUACCUCCUACUGUGCACUGAUUAGCAGCCAUAUUGCUUGCCACUAGAGAAACAAUAGUUUCAGAAUAUUUUCCAGAGGACGCAAAUGAUUACAUGGCCCUCUUCUUAUUGGCCAGUGUAAUCUCAGCUAUGAAAGCUUUUCUAGAGAGAGCAUGAGCGGCGAAGAGCAGGAGAGAGAGAGAGAAUCUCAAGCAGGCUCCACGCUCAGCACAGAGCCCAACGGGGGGCUCAAUACCUCGACCCUGAGAUCAUGACCUGACCCAAAAUCAAGAGUCAGACUCUCAACUGACUAAGGCACCUGGGCACCCCUGUCCUAUUAUUUUUCUUGGUAAACCCAACAGACAAACUGCUUACACAUAGUCAUUUAGUCAUUCGUUCAUUCAUUCAUUCAUUUAUAGAGUGGUCACGCAUGUUCCCUGUUCCAAACCUUUAUCCCGUCAUGCCCGGACAAUUAUAAACAUCUUUUGCUUUUUUUCUCACCUUCUCUUUCACCAUCUUGUGGGUUCACGUCUUCUUUUCCAAUCCCAUUGUCCUUCAUCUGCCCUCAGGAUCUUCCAGGUGUGUUGAAUUACAAGACUGAGAGCAGCCACUCUGCACAUGGGUGGGAAGUGUUGGAAGAGAGUACAAUUAUAAGGUGGGUGGAAAGGAGAAUCUGAGACUUUCUCUAUUUGAGGUGUCCAUGGGACAAAUGUGUGGAAAUUAUUGUCGGUGAAGCUCUAGAUCUGAGAAGAGAGAUUUUAUUUAAUGAAAUAAGGACACACAGAUAGUUCAAAGUCAAGAUGCUGAUUCAAUCACUAAAGAGAUAAAGUAAAAGAAAAUGAGAACUGGGCACAGAGUGGGUGACAAAUAAAUAUUUGCUGUUUGUGGUGUCUUACCUGGGAAAUUUACUACCAGUAUGUCUCCUUUGAUGGUCAUGACCUGUUCCUUUUAGGGUGUGAAACUCUUUCAUUCCUGGUAUUUAUUAUAGAUUUGAACUCUCCACUUCAAAAGUCAUUUUAAAGAGAGAUAUUCAUAGAAACUUGCUCUCGUAUAAUCAAAUAGCAGUACAAUGGACAAAAACCUUCCAAAAGAAAUACUUAAAAUAGACUUUAACCCUUACUCACCUUGAGGUUAAGAAAAGAAGAUUGCUUUUUGUAAAAAGAAUAUUUAAUAUGAAUCAGAAUUAGAGAAGUAAGACUAGAAGGAAUUUCAGAGCAUCGUAGCUGAAGCACAUAUUUGCUAGGAGAGUAAACCGAGGCAGAGAAUGACUAAGAAGUUAACCCAAGGCUUCCUGCCUUAAUUGGCAGAAAUUUCAGCCCCUGCUAUCUGAAUGACAAAUAUAGAGGAAGAAUCUUGUCUCGAAAUGCUGAUAAUGCUAGGAGUGCUCCCUGGACCCAAAGCAUCAGAAUAAAAACCUAUUUUACAAAUUAAAAUGUUAAAAUUUCAAUUAAAUUUCUAUUUAGUUGAAAAAGGUAAAACCUAACUGCUUUACUUGGGUUUCAUUGUUUCUUCAACUGUUGUUGGUUUUUUUGUUUUGUUUUGUUUAGUUUUGUUUUAAAGAAGGGGAUGUGGUUUGGAGUGGAUAAUACUGGGCCACUUUCAGCUCCAAAAACAUGGCAUUCUAUAAUUUUUGAAUCAUAAUAUAUUUGUAGAAGGAAUAAGGAAAAUGCCAGCAAAUUAAAUACUAACACUAAUGCUAAUAUUUCGUAAUUAUAAGAAAUUCAAAAUUCUUGGUCAACACAAUCAGUUGUAAAGUGAAGCUUUAUUCUGUUUUGUCAAAUCAUACCAAAUAACUGUUUUUUAAAUUGCUGUUCAUUCUGAUAAUUUGUAUACACAAGUCUUUUAAAAACUGGAUUAUAAUAGAUACGGGUGAUU